AUUUAUGUAGUUUAUAAAAACAUUACAUUUUCAAUGUAAAGAUAAGAUAUUAUUUUUCAUAAAUA
rnacentral:tRNA from 1 species